rnacentral:rRNA from 1 species
CAGUAGCCACGGUAAUACGUAGGUGGCAAGCGUUAUCCGGAAUUAUUGGGCGUAAAGCGCGCGUAGGCGGUUUUUUAAGUCUGAUGUGAAAGCCCACGGCUCAACCGUGGAGGGUCAUUGGAAACUGGAAAACUUGAGUGCAGAAGAGGAAAGUGGAAUUCCAUGUGUAGCGGUGAAAUGCGCGGAGAUAUGGAGGAACACCAGUGGUGAAGGCGACUUUCUGGUCUGUAACUGACGCUGAUGUGCGAAAGCGUGGGGAUCAAACAGGAUUAGAUACCCGAGUAGUCCCUGUCUCUUAUAC